rnacentral:rRNA from 1 species
UACGUAGGGGGCAAGCGUUGUCCGGAAUCAUUGGGCGUAAAGAGCGUGUAGGCGGCCCGGUAAGUCCGCUGUGAAAGUCCAGGGCUCAACCCUGGGAUGCCGGUGGAUACUGUCGGGCUCGAGUCCGGAAGAGGAGUGUGGAAUUCCUGGUGUAGCGGUGAAAUGCGUAGAGAUCGGGAGGAACACCAGUGGCGAAGGCGGCUACCUGGACCAGCACUGACGCUGAGACGCGAAAGCGUGGGGAGCGAACAGG